rnacentral:rRNA from 1 species
GGGGAAUCUUCCGCAACGGCAGCAAGCCUGAGGGAGCAAGACCGCGUGCGGUAGGACGGCCUAUUGGUUGUAACCCGCUCAUGAUAGGGAAGAAGUUCUGACGGUACCUAUCGAAUCAGCAUCGGCUAACUCCGUGCCAGCAGCCGCGGUAAUACGGAGGAUGCAAGCGUUAUCCGGAAGUAUUGGGCGUAAAGCGUCCGUAGGUGGUUGUUCAAGUCUGCUGUUAAAGCGUUCGGCUUAACCGCAUACCACCAGCGGAAACUGGACGUAUAGAGUGCGGUAGGGGUCAGGGGAACUCCCAGUGUAGCGGUGAAAGGCGUAGAUAUGGGGAAGAACACCAGCGGCGAAACCGCGUGAUAGGCCCUGAACUGACACUGAGGGACGAAAGGUAGGGGAGCGAAUGGGAUUAGAUACCCCAGUAGUC